rnacentral:rRNA from 1 species
AGGACGAACGCUGGCGGCGUGCUUAACACAUGCAAGUCGAGCGAGGCCCGCCUUUCGGGGUGGUGUCCUAGCGGCGAACGGGUGAGUAACACGUGGGCAACCUGCCCUCAGCUCUGGGAUAACUCCAAGAAAUUGGGGCUAAUACCGGAUAUGACCGCUGACCGCAUGGUCUGGUGGUGGAAAGAUUUAUCGGCUGGGGGAUGGGCCCGCGGCCUAUCAGCUUGUUGGUGGGGUAGUGGCCUACCAAGGCGACGACGGGUAGCCGGCCUGAGAGGGUGACCGGCCACACUGGGACUGAGACACGGCCCAGACUCCUACGGGAGGCAGCAGUGGGGGAAUAUUGCGCAAUGGGCGAAAGCCUGACGCAGCGACGCCGCGUGGGGGAUGACGGCCUUCGGGUUGUAAACCUCUUUCAGCAGGGACGAAGCGAAAGUGACGGUACCUGCAGAAGAAGGACCGGCCAACUACGUGCCAGCAGCCGC